UCACCCGUGUCAUCUGAAACAGCCCGUGUCAGGAGGCCUAUAACGGCUCUUUUGGCAGUAGCCUGACACGAGUGGCCGAGUCAGCUGACAUGACCCGUGUUAAGCAUACGGGAUUUGAAUCAUUUUUCGUGGGUCCCACCAUUUUAAUUUUCGCUUAACCACACCCCACCCACCUUUCCCCCCUUCUCAUUAAUUAGAUUUUAA
rnacentral:lncRNA from 1 species